AUGCACGCUGGCGGCGUGCCUAAUACCUGCCAGUCGAGCGAACAGACGAGGAGCUUGCUCCUCUGACGUUAGCGGCGGACGGGUGAGUAACACGUGGAUAACCUACCUAUAAGACUGGGAUAACUUCGGGAAACCGGAGCUAAUACCGGAUAAUAUAUUGAACCGCAUGGUUCAAUAGUGAAAGACGGUUUUGCUGUCACCUAUAGAUGGAUCCGCGCCGCAUUAGCUAGUUGGUAAGGUAACGGCUUACCAAGGCAACGAUGCGUAGCCGACCUGAGAGGGGGUACGGCACCAGGGGAGAAGCGACACGAACGAGAGACAGACGGACGGACGAAGUAGGGAAGAGUGGGCAAGGGGCGGAAGCCGGAAGGAGGAGCGAAUAGAGAAUGAAGAAGGUCUGCGGGACGUAAAACUCUGUUAUUAGAGAAAAACAAAUGGGUAGGUAAAUAUGCACGACUGGACGGGACCUAAUAAGAAAGACACGCCUAACUACG
rnacentral:rRNA from 1 species